rnacentral:rRNA from 1 species
GUGUACCGGAAGGUGUACCUGGAAAGUUCAAUUCAGAGCUUGAUAAGUUAAGCAUCUCAUUUACACUGAGAAGUCACUGUGCAAUUCAGUUUGAUUUGAUAAAGAAAAAUUUACGUUGGUUGUUUGAAAAUGUUAGUUUUUGUUAAUAAAAUCAUUUUUUAGGUAAUAAGUUUUUGUAUAGGUUAUAGAUAAAAUUUUUUUAGUGAUAGUUUAAUUGUAUUGUGAAAGAUUAUUGAAAUAUUUGAAAAUUUAUUUUUUUAAAAGUAGGUUUAAAUUACCGUACCUUGUGUAUCAGGGUUCAUCUCAAAGUUUAUAAUUAUUUAUAUGUCCCGAUUUGAAGAGAGCUAAGUAUUUUUGUUAGUUAAUGUAGAAUAAUUAUUAAUUAAAAGUAUUUAGUAAUGAAACGUUAUCCGUUCUUUAAGAUAUCUGGUUUUUCAAGAAAUGAAUUUAAUUCAGUUAUUUAAUUUUAUUGGGUUGAUUGAUUAGUUUGAUAUGAUUAAAUAAAAAUAUUUGGGGGGAUAAGCUUCUGAAUAUGAAUUUAUAAAGUUAAAUUUUAAUUAAGAUUUUGUAGGCUUAGAAUUAGCCAUCAAUUAGAGGAUGUUAUAAUUUAUUUUUGAUUAAAUAUCAUUUUGUAAUGUAUUUAAAUUUUUUAUUGAAAUGUGACUUUUAAUUAUUUAAGGUCAGUAGUAAUGAUGAAAUUAGUAUAAUAAGUUGUUGAUUUUAAUUAAACCGUUAGGUUACAUUAAGGAAUUCGGCAAAUUAAUGCUCGCCUGUUUAACAAAAACAUGUCCUCAUGAAAAUAAUUUGAGGUCUGACCUGCCCACUGAAUUGAAGAAUUUGAAGGGCCGCGGUAUUUUGACCGUGCAAAGGUAGCAUAAUCAUUAGUCUUUUAAUUGAAGGCUGGAAUGAAUGGUUGGACGAGGUAUUGACUGUCUCAAUGUAAUUGUUAUUAGAAUUUAACUUUUAGGUCAAAAGGCUUAAAUGCGUUUAAG